rnacentral:rRNA from 1 species
UACGUAGGGUGCAAGCGUUGUCCGGAAUUAUUGGGCGUAAAGGGCUCGUAGGCGGUCCAUCGCGUCGGGAGUGAAAAGCUGGGGCUUAACCCCAGUCCUGCUUCCGAUACGGGUGGACUAGAGGUAGGUAGGGGGAGAUCGGAAUUCCUGGUGUAGCGGUGAAAUGCGCAGAUAUCAGGAAGAACACCAAUGGCGAAGGCAGCUCUCUGGGGACGGUACUGACGCUGAGACGCGAAAGCGUGGGGAGCGAACAGG